GCAUUGGCAGUUCAAUGGUUAGGACUCAGUGCUUUCACUGCUGUGAGCCUAGGUUCAAUCCCUAGUCAAGGAU
rnacentral:tRNA from 1 species